rnacentral:ncRNA from 1 species
AGAAACUCUGGAGAAUCUCUUAAUUUUAAGAGUGCCGAAGGUGCAAGGGGCUAGCCCCGAAUCUCUCAGGCAAAAGGACGGAGCGU